rnacentral:SRP_RNA from 1 species
UGUUGGUUCUCCCGCAACGCUAACUUGUUAACUUGGUCAGGUCCGGAAGGAAGCAGCCAUAGCAGGGGUCGUGUGUGCCGGGAU